rnacentral:rRNA from 1 species
CUUCUCAGAUCGCAUGGCCCUGCGCCGGUGACGGUUCAUUCAAAUUUCUGCCCUAUCAACUUUCGAUGGUAAGGUAUUGGCUUACCAUGGUUUCAACGGGUAACGGGGAAUUAGGGUUCGAUUCCGGAGAGGGAGCCUGAGAAACGGCUACCACAUCCAAGGAAGGCAGCAGGCGCGCAAAUUACCCAAUCCCGACACGGGGAGGUAGUGACAAUAAAUACUGAUACAGGGCUCUUUUGGGUCUUGUAAUUGGAAUGAGUACAAUUUAAACCUCUUAACGAGGAACAAUUGGAGGGCAAGUCUGGUGCCAGCAGCCGCGGUAAUUCCAGCUCCAAUAGCGUAUAUUAAAGUUGUUGCAGUUAAAAAGCUCGUAGUUGAACCUUUGGCCUGGCUGGCAGGUCCGCCUCACCGCGUGUACUUGUCCGGCCGGGCCUUUUCUUCUGGAGAACCGCAUGCCCUUCACUGGGUGUGUUGGGGACCAGGACUUUUACUUUGAAAAAAUUAGAGUGUUCAAAGCAGGCCUUUGCUCGAAUACGUUAGCAUGGAAUAAUAGAAUAGGACGUGCGGUCCUAUUUUGUUGGUUUCUAGGACCGCCGUAAUGAUUAAUAGGGACAGUCGGGGGCAUCAGUAUUCAAUUGUCAGAGGUGAAAUUCUUGGAUUUAUUGAAGACUAACUACUGCGAAAGCAUUUGCCAAGGAUGUUUUCAUUAAUCAGUGAACGAAAGUUAGGGGAUCGAAGACGAUCAGAUACCGUCGUAGUCUUAACCAUAAACUAUGCCGACUAGGGAUCGGGCGGUGUUUCUUAUUUGACUCGCUCGGCACCUUACGAGAAAU